UACAGAGGUCCCAAGCGUUAUCCGGAUUCACUGGGUUUAAAGGGUGCGUAGGCGGAUUAGAAAGUCCGUUGUGAAAUCUCUGAGCUUAACUCGGAAAUUGCGGUGGAUACUAUUAGUCUUGAAUACUGUGGAGGUUAGCGGAAUAUGUCAUGUAGCGGUGAAAUGCAUAGAUAUGACAUAGAACACCAAUUGCGAAGGCAGCUGGCUACACAGAUAUUGACGCUGAGGCACGAAAGCGUGGGGAUCAAACAGG
rnacentral:rRNA from 1 species